rnacentral:lncRNA from 1 species
AGUUCAACUCUGUCCCUGACACAGGACCCUGUGCUCAGACUGCCCAGCCCUGCCUCACACACGGUAGGUGCUCAUUAAUUGACUGUGGAGGGGUAGUGGCCUAGAGAGGAAUCUGGGUGUGGCCAGGUGGUCUCAGCAUCUCCAUCUCACCCUGGAGGGCUUCCUGCAGGAGGGUGCACUGGCCCCACAGAGAGCGCCUGUCCUAAGAAAAUAAUAGAAGGAGGGCUCUGCUUCCGGGCUCCAGCAAGUGCUUAGGAGCCUGAUCUGGGGCCACCUGCAGGUCUGUCCACACUGGAGAUGGCACAGCUCUGUGCCAGCCGCGCAGGGGACUGUGUGCUGAGCCAAGGGAGCCAGCACUUCUCUCUUGAAAAGCUGAGGCUGUAGGAAAAGGGGGGCUGCAGGCCAAAAGCCUCUGCGACACUCAGCACAUAGUGGGGAAGGGGGGCGUCCCUAGGGUACCAGGAGGGAGAACCAUGGCCCAGGAGUCACUGCCAACCCCAUCCGGCCCUACCUGGCUGUCCACCAGGCCCCUGGCUCUUCCCCAGACCCAAGCUGCCCUGGGCCAUUCUCCCAGGUCCCUGCCCCUGCCCUGGGCCAGGCCACCGUCCCUGAUCGCUGGGCCAACAGCAAGGGCCCUGCCUGUGCAGGUGCCAGAUGUGAUCCCAUCGCAUGGCAGGGCUGAAUUCAGCCACAACUCUUAGAAAGGAACAGAGAAGCCUGCACAGAACGCAGUGGGGACUGAGAUGCGGCAGCGAUCCUGCCACCCUGGAGGGAGGGAGGGAGGGCACUGCCAGAAUUCUCACUUCACACCUCUAUGUUCAUCCUGAGAUAGGAACGGAUCCCUUGUUUAUGGGGCAGACCCACACACCAUAUGUGGACUCUGUCCUAACGCCGGCACAGAGGGCAAACUGCUUGGUCAAAAUCGCCCUUAGAAAUCACCCCAAAACACAGUGCCCAAUGGUUCUGCAAAAUAUAUACAGAACAGACGCAAACAUAUUCAGGAUGCAGAACACAGACUGAAAUGAACAGCGGAUAAUAAAUGGCGUAUGUGUUAAAUCUAACUGGGCAUAUUCGAUUUGAACUAUUUCUCUCAUUUUGUCUUGCAAAAUGCAUAUCUUGGAAUUCCUAUAACUCACAUGUGGAUAUGGUGAGAAUCCAAAGUUGCUGAAUCAUGGAAUAGCCAGUCAGAGCCCAGGCUCCCUGAACAGCACUGGGCAGCCACCACCUCACAGGUGCAGAGUCUCACGUCAGCAGAACCAGAAAAUCAAUUACCCGCGCCACGGCUCCACAGUGAGGGCCGCUGUGAGCUGAGGGGCCUCUUGGGCCAGGCCCUGCUCUGAGCACCUUCCAGGCAGGACUCACUCAGCCCAGCACCCCAGGAGGUGAGCUGGCUGCUGCCCUCAUUUUAUGGAGGAAGAAACAGAGACAUUAAGGAACCUGUCGCAGGGAGCACAGGAGUGAGAGGGGAGUGGGGUGGGGCCUGUGUGAUUUUGAUUCCUGCUCUGAACUGGCCACACUUGUGUUCAGUCCCCCAUGAGGUCACCUGUGCCUGAUUCCUCUUGGUAGCCUCAGUGACACACAAUUCGUGAG